GUUCGGAUUGUAGUCUGCAACCCGACUACAUGAAGCUGGAAUCGCUAGUAAUCGCGGAUCAGAAUGCCGCGGUGAAUACGUUCCCGGGUCUUGUACACACCGCCCGUCACACCAUGGGAGUCGGAAAUGCCCGAAGUCUGUGACCCAACCUUAGGGAGGGAGCAGCCGAAGGCAGGUCGGAUGACUGGGGUGAAGUCGUAACAAGGUAUC
rnacentral:rRNA from 1 species